GAUGGUAUAGUUCAGUGGUCGAGUGCAUGCUUAGCAUGCAUGAGGUCCUGGGUUCAAUCCCCAGUACUUUUA
rnacentral:tRNA from 1 species